CUGCCCUCAAGUCAUGAUUUUAGGAUACCACUCGUUAAGUGACAUGACCAAGAACUUAGGCUGACCUUCUGCUGAAACAUGAACAUCCUCAGAGAGAAGAGUCCUCUCCUCCACAGAAUCCUUGUCCACCUCCCGAGCAAUGUCCCACCUGGUCACUGGAUGAGGACUCCUUCUGUAGCCUCCAUCACUUCCAGAAAUACAGACAGCCUUUGGGAGAAUAAGUGUCAGCACCAAGAAAAUGGAGGGGAAAUAUAGAAGGACAUUGGAGAGGGAAGGGAGAAAGCACCUGGAAGGGAUCACAGCAGAACGUGGACUUCAUCCCACAAUCUUACACUGAAGGAAAAAGAGCUACAAAGAAUAAUGAUCCAUGAAUUCUAGAGAGGGACACAGUGCUUCAAAUUAAAUCAAUUAUUGUUGAAGUUUCUGGCAGGAGAAGUUUUGCUUUACUGCUUCUACGCAGCAAACCGCACAGAUGAACAGAACUGUUAUUACCUGUGAAAAAAUGUCGGGAGGAAGAUUCUCAGCCAUGAACAGGGCAAUUAAAACACGCGUUCAUUGGGCUCUAAAGUAGUCAAUUUCCUCUAAAAAGCGCAGAGGCCACCUCUACUAUUUUUUCAAAGACAGCUCGGCUAUUAGUUGCUAGGGUAACAAGACACAGGGUAGAAGUAAAGCCUGUCCACCCAGCACCGUAUCAGCGUGGUCUAUAGAUGAGAAAGAAUUACUAGUAACAACGUUCAGUUAUAGAUUAUUUUUAUUCGACUGCUACAAGAAGGACGGUUAAAAUACUGUAUAUGUCUACAAUUAAAAAGGUGCUGAUACUGUAGGGCUUUAAUUGGCUCUUCUGAGUAACGGAUGACACUAAACUAUUUAAGUAGCAAAUGCUUCUAAUCUCACCAAAAAGGGGAGAUGCUGCCUAAAACUUAUGGCACGUUGGUGGGAUCAGUGUAACGUACCGCGCUGUGUCAAUGUCACUUUCAUAAACUUUUGCUGAAGUGGUUUUCCUCCUGUAUGUUGAAUGAUGUUGUCAGGACUGCGAGUCGGGGGUACGGUGGAAUCGAGUCUACUUUACUUCCCUUGAUGAAAAGGUCGCUGCCACUUGUAAAUCUCUUUUACUCCCUGCACAGUUGUUAGCGUCAAAGUCUGUCAGCUCUGUGGGAUGUUAAAAUUAUACAACUGUGGUAGGAACAAGGAGCACCGAUUCCCAGGUGGUACGUCCCAAGAAAAAGCCUCUGAUCUUUGUGCAAAAGUUCUGCAGAAAGUUUUUCAUCUAGGAUUUUCGGCUCACUUCGGCUUGAUUGCAGAAAUAAACAACAUUUAUGUUUCACUGCCUCCCAGCUGGUGGGCCUUCCCUGAUGAUAGCUCAUCACAGGACCACUUAUUAUGUCUGUAGCCCACGGUUGCAAGUGAAACAAUUCCCUCUUCUUUAUUUUUUUAAGGAUAUAAGGGUUCCAAUUAGGGCACAAUUAAAAGCCGGCCUGCGUUAUGUUAUGUGAUUAUGUUUUGACAAAUCAUCACACUAGAUCAGCAUCACAAAUCCUC